rnacentral:misc_RNA from 1 species
AGCAGUUGACAAGUUCCUCUCUUUCUUGUCAAUCUCUUCUGCUCCACAAGGAGAGACGUCAGAAAUGGGUUCGCUUCCAGCAUUAGAUGAAUUCGCUGCUAAAGUAUCUGAAGUGCAUACUGAGAUUAUGGGGAAAGAUACUUCUGAUCACAAAGAGACGAAUGAAGGCUCCUCAAAAGAAUGCUCGCUAUAUGAAAAUGGAUCAAGCUCAAGGGAAGUUACUGAAAUUGAGCCUGAUGUUGCAAAGGUUGGGCUGUCAGGAGAUAAUCUAGCUUUCGAUUUUCAAAAUGGCAAAAAUGGGUUUAUGAAGUCAGAAUUGGUAGUUGAGCAUGAUGCAGCUGAUUUACCUCCAUCUUCAUCAAGCAAUGCACUAGAGGAACAACAUCCUCCGGUUGAAGUUGAUGUUUCAAUGGACUCCAAAUUGUCUUCUUCAGAGUUUGAAUCUGUGGAGGAGCAUGCAAUGCAUAUGGAAGGCAUUCUUCAGCCGGAACAGGAAGAAGUAUCUUCAUCAGGUCUUGAUGCAGAGAUCCUUGUCAACAGUUUAGUGGCUUCAAGCUUUG